rnacentral:rRNA from 1 species
GCAUAUCAAUAAGCGGAGGAAAAGAAACUAACAAGGAUUCCCCUAGUAACGGCGAGUGAAGCGGGAACAGCUCAAAUUUGAAAUCUCAGCGCAAGCUGCGAAUUGUAGUUUAGAGAAACGUUUUCGGGGCCGGCAGCCAGUACAAGUUCUUUGGAACAAGGCAUCACAGAGGGUGAAAAUCCCGUCUUUGACUGGCUGCUUGGUUCCAUGUGAUACGUUUUCCAAGAGUCGGUUUGUUUGGGAAUGCAGACCAAAAUGGGUGGUAAAUACCAUCUAAAGCUAAAUAUUGGCGAGAGACCGAUAGCGAACAAGUACCGUGAGGGAAAGAUGAAAAGAACUUUGAAAAGAGAGUUAAACAGUGCGUGAAAUUGUCAAAAGGGAAACGUUUAAAACCAGUAUUGCGGGCAGAAACUCAGGUUCCAUUUAUGGUGCUGUAUUUUUCUGUCGGCGAGUCAACAUCAGUUUUGCUUGGAGUAAAACGCCAGGGGAAGGUAGCCUUCGGGUGUUAUAGCCUCUGGUAAUGCUCUGGGCGGGACUGAGGACUGCAGCGUUCUUUGGGUCUACCACACCAACGCUUAGGAUGUUGACGAAAUGGUUUUAAGCGACCCGUCUUGAAACACGGACCAAGGAGUCUAACAUAUAUGCGAGUAUUUGGGUGGCAAACCCUUAUGCGUAAUGAAAGUGAAAAGGUGGGAUCCUUUGCUGGUGCACCAUCGACCGCGCCAGAUUAUUGCUAUCUCGGCGUGAGUAUGAGCAUACAUGUUGGGACCCGAAAGAUGGUGAACUAUGCCUGAAUAGGGUGAAGCCAGAGGAAACUCUGGUGGAGGCUCGUAGCGGUUCUGACGUGCAAAUCGAUCGUCAAAUUUGGGUAUAGGGGCGAAAGACUAAUCGAACCAUCUAGUAGCUGGUCCCUCGAA